AUGGAACUCAGCCAAGUAUGCCUGGUGUACUCUAUGCUGGGGUGCAGCUCAGGAGGAACCCAAACAGGCUUGGCCCCACACUGUCCUGCUGGGUCGACUACAUGCAAUCUCGUGAGCUGUGUCCUGGAGUGGCUUCCCAGCCUUCUGAGCAUCUGCUGCCUCUACGUUGGGUUGCAGAGCACCAGGCAAUCUCAGCCUGGAGGGAACGUGACACCCUCCCAGUCUCUAGCACCAUUAUUGUACCAGCAGCAUAAUGUGAGGCUGCAGCGGGACACUCCCAUACCUCUAGAAAGACUUCACACAAUGAAUCAACUUCUCUCUCCCAGGAGCCUCAUCCUAAGUCCCAAGGAAUCAGACCACCCCUCCAUCUCAGGCAGACCUUCCUUUGUUCAUCGGCCCUGUCGAUGAUUUCAUCCAGCUGCAUUUCAUUUCAUUCAGUCGGACAUCUCUACUCACUCGGAGCAUAGAAUUCACUUUCCUGCAUUAUGAGUGUGGUUGGGAUGGACAAGAGUCACAGAUGGGAAACUGAGGCACGGGAGAAUACAAAAAUGUUCCUAAAUAAGUCAUAUUCACAUCUCUCUUGGAUGUAAAAAAUUCACUAAAUUAAAGGUACUUAAUGAGUAAAUAGUCGUUAAGGGCACAGUAUGUGGGAGGAAACCACAGCACCACAGAAUCUUGGAACUG
rnacentral:lncRNA from 1 species